UUGGCCAGGCUGGUCUCAAACUCCUGAUCUCAGAUGAUCCACCCGCCUUGGCCUCCCAAAGUGCCAGGAUUACAGGUGUGAGCCACCGUGCCUGGCCAGGAAGAACUUUUAUUCGUCAAUUCCAAGCUUCUCACUAACCUCUCCCUUGAAGUUUUAAAAUAUGCACCAGGAAUCCAUUAGAGGCUAUCAUGGAGAGGCCUAAAUUUGGGAGAGGGCCCUCACUCAGAUGAGUAAGUUUACAAACAAGGCAAAUCAGGAGAACUUCCUGUAACCUCUGCCAAGCAGCCAAAGGAAGCUAAGGGGGCUGGACAGUGGGAAUGAUUAAUGAGAAGUGGGGUGAUGUGCUGUAACACAAGCUGAACAGUGAGAACAUUUCAUCUGGGGAGCUGAGGAAACCGGUUGGGACUUGGAUAUAAUCUAGCUAAAAUAGGAAGGUCACAGAAAAAUAAAUCAGGCUCAUGAAUUUGUUUAACCUGUUACCUAAUACAAGAGUGGGAACAUAACUGAAUUUGAAAACCACAAUUAUGUCAGGAGAAGAAGGUCCUGUGUAAGCAGUGCCACAGAUGACCGAAUUUGAUGCCACAGGAGAUCGAGAAGAAAUCCCCAUCUCCCUGCUUAAUAUUCACAUCAGGGCCUCACAGAUGUGUGUUCCCGGCUCAGGCCUAAAUCCUGCUGGACACAUUCUUGAAGCUGUUGUUGGGCUCAGAAAGCAAAGCUGCCAAGCAGCUGCCAACAUCGGCAGCAAUUUCAGGCAGCUAACCCCAAACCCCAUUUAUUGGCAGGAACCCAGCACAGCCCAUGUCCACCCCUUGCCCCACACCUCCUUGUGGGAUUUGCAGGUUGACUGAACACCAUAGAGAUGGAAUUGGCCAUGGCUUUUAAAGCGGGUUUGGCUUACCUGUGGCUCAAAGAAUCAAUAUUAUCUGGAAACCUGGUAAGGAUGCACCACAUUCAGCCCUAGGGCUGGGCUUCCAGGCUACCACCUGCACUGGACUUCUCCAUCUUUGGGUCCUUUAAUUCUCUCCAGUUGGUCACGAUGGCAAGCAGUAACAGCAAGUUUCCCCAUCCUCCUCCACUAACUCAUACUAUAUCAGCUUCACCAAAUAACUGGUUUCCAUAUCAGUCUGGAUUUUUAUUCUGAACUCUAGUCAAUGGUUAGCUCUACGUGGCCAUUGCUGUUUUAUUUACAGCAGUACGUAGUAUAAUUUAUUAUAAUGAUGUAUAUAUUUGUAUAAUGUAAAAACAAAAGAUAUAAAUAAUACAAAUAUAUAUGUAUUAUAACUAAUAAUAUAACAGUAUAGUACAUUUAUUACUUCAUUAUAAGCUUUAAUACCUCUUAGGACAAGCCUCAUUUCUUUCUCCCUGUGUAUUGUCUAUUUUAAAGGCUAAUUGUUUUUAAAAAAAAUCCAUUAUUUUCAUUACAAAAGAUUCUCUUGUUUUUCCAAGAAAACUAAAGUUACUGAUCUCUCUCUACAUCAUCUCACACUUUUAUUAUAUCUUCCUAUGCCUUCUGACUUUCUUAUUCAAAUAACGUAUACAUUUUUAAAAAUCGGAUCUAUUCUUUUUAUUCUGCAACUUGAAUUUUUCACUUAACGAUGUCCCACAGACAUACUGGUUCCUAUGCCAUCAUCCUCACUGCAUUGGAGAUCUCAGUAUCACUUUUUCAACUGCUGUUUUCUUCCAGGGGUUUGUUAUGAAUCAGGGCUGCAGUGGACACUCUUACAUGUAUAUGCAUGUGUAUCUUUUGAUAGUGCUGCUUUUAUUCCUCCAAGAUGUAUUGUUCAAAGUGGAAUUACUGGAUCAAAAGGAACGAGGAAACCAUUGAAAAGAAGGAUUGAAGAACUUGCCACGGGAAUGCUUGCAGAAGAAAAUGAAUUAGCUUCCUCGAAUCCAAGAGACUCAAUGUGAAAACCCUCAACCCAUCCUAAUAAAGAGAUGAGGCCAACAUGCAUUUUUGGAAGACUCUGAUUCUCAGUCCUUUGGUGAUCACUUAACUGGACAAUCAGAAACUAAUAGAAUCAACUUUUCCAAACAAGACAUACCAAGAGAAGCCCUAGCAGCUCACCUGGGUCAUUGGCUAACAAAUAUAUCACCUCUU